rnacentral:rRNA from 1 species
CCUACGGGUGGCAGCAGUGGGGAAUAUUGGGCAAUGGGCGCAAGCCUGACCCAGCAACGCCGCGUGAAGGAAGAAGGCUUUCUGGUUGUUAACUUCUUUUUUCAGGGACGAAGCAAGUGACGGUACCUGACGGAUAAGCGACGGCUAACUACGUGCCAGAAGCCGCGGUAAUACGUAGGUGGCAAGCAUUAUCCGGAUUUGAUGGGUGUAAAGGGCGUGUAGGCGGGACUGCAAGUCAGAUGUGAAAACGACGGGCUCAACCUGUGGCCUGCAUUUGAAACGGUAGUUCUUGAGUAUUGGAGAGGUAGACGGAAUUCCUGGUGUAGCGGUGAAAUGCGUAGAUAUUA